UUUAUGACGGCUGCGCUGUUUGUUGCACUCAUUGUGGUCCUGCUCUCGAUCCACGUCUCGGGAACGGUGCCGAGACUCCCGGUGUCUGUGGUCACUGCUCCCGUGGGUCUCGUCUCUGUGGUUGUGGUCACGGUGUGAGGCAUAGUGGUCCACGUGGUCAUGGGAAUAAUCUUCCUUUGGCUCUAUGUAGGCAGAGUCUCGACUCUCCUGGGUUUCCGAGUCAAAUGUCUCUUGCCUGGAGAGGCCGCGACUUGUCCCACUGCGAUGGUUGUGGUGUGGGGCUGAGGAGGAAGAGCGGUGCUGGGAUUUCUUGACUGGUUCCACACUAGGUUCUUCUUCAGCUUGGGAAGCAGAACGGAUAGGAGCGGAGCGAUCAGUCCUUUGAUCACCUUGAGAACCCUGGCAGCAAAAGGAGCAUACCAAGGCGUUAACCAAGACUAUGGAAAUGAUGUCAGACAAAAAGCGAACUUGAGUGACUUUCUUAUUCUAGUUCAAAAUGGGUCGUAAAGCAGUAGAGACAGCUUGCAAUAUCAACAAUGCAUUUGGCCCAGGAGUUGCUAAUGAACGUAUAGUGCAGUGGUGGUUCAAGAAGCCAAUUUGCAAAGGAGAAGAGAGCCUCGAAGAUGAAGAGCAGAGUGGCUGACCAUUGGAAGUUGACAACGACUACUUGAGAGCAAUCAUCAAAGCUGAUUUUCUUACAACUGCACGAGAAGUUGCUGAAGAAUUCAACAUCGACCAUUCUAUGGUCGUUCUGCAUUUGAAGCAAAUUAGAAAGGUGAAAAAACUCGAUAAGUGGGUGCCCUAUGAGCUGAGCCAAAAAAAAAUUGUUGUUUGGAAGAGUCAUCUUCUCUUAUUUUGUGCAACAACAAUGAACCAUUUUUCAAUCGGAUUGUGACAGGUGACAAAAAUUGGAUUUUAUAUGACAACCAGUGACAACCAGCUCAGCUGUUGGACUGAGAAGCUCCAAAGCACUUCCCAAAGCCAAACUUGCACCAAAAAAAAGAAAGGUCAUGGUCACUGUUUGGUGGUGUGCUGCCAGUCUGAUCCACUAUAGCUUUCUGAAUCCCAGCGAAAACAUUACAUCUGAGAAGUACGCUCAGCAGAUGGAUGAGAUGCACCGAAAACUAGAACGCCUGUAGCCAGCAUCGGUCAACAGAAAGGGCCCAAUUCUUCUCCAUGACAACUCCCAACUGCACGUUGCACAACCAGCACUUCAAAAGUUGAAUGAAUUGGGCUAUGAAGUUUUGCCUCAUCCGCCAUAUUUACCUGACCUCUCAACAACCGACUGCCACUUCUUCAAGCAUCUCGACAACUUUUUGCAGAGAAAAUGGUUCCACAACCAGGAGGAUGCAGAAAAUGCUUUCCAAGAGUUUACCGAAUCCCAAAGCACAGAUUUUUAUGCUACAGGAAUAAACAAACUUAUUUCUCAUUGGCAAAAA